UACGUAGGGGGCUAGCGUUGUCCGGAAUCAUUGGGCGUAAAGAGCGUGUAGGCGGUCCGGUAAGUCCGUUGUGAAAGUCAGGGGCUCAACCCUUGAAUGCCGGCGGAUACUGUCGGGCUAGAGUCCGGAAGAGGCGAGUGGGAUUCCUGGUGUAGCGGUGGAAUGCGCAGAUAUCAGGAGGAACACCGAUAGCGAAGGCAGCUCGCUGGGACGGUACUGACGCUGAGGCGCGAAAGCGUGGGGAGCAAACAGG
rnacentral:rRNA from 1 species